CCGGCAUGUAACGGUGAUCGUAAAGUGGAGGGAUGGGACUUGAACACAUGCAGAAUGAUAUACAGUAAUAGAGACUACUGGAUGAAAAGAAGAAGGCAAAGUCGGGGUGAUGUUACUGUGAAUUGUCCGAAUGCUGCAUCUUUUGAUCUGUGAGGAAACGCUGAUCCGAACCCAGACACGUUCAUCGACGCUCUCCGAUGGUUUCCAGCGAGAAAAAAAGAAAACACUGACCACCAACACAUUAAUGAUAAAUCAAAAGCAGCUGGAGCGUCUGACCUCCAGGACAACACGAGACAAACUUUUGCCCCGUUUGGGACCUCUGUCAUCAUCUGCAUGAAAGACUGUCCCUGAAGGUCACAGAGAACAGCUCAGGAAGUGUCACCGUGCCACUGUUUUGUCAAACCCGAAAGGAUGGGGUCAUAGUUGCCCUCUUUGGUCGUUUAGUGGGGGUAACAAGUGGGUGUUAUCUGCCCUUUGGCCUAAGGGGGCAGCACUGAGCCCAUUACAGCUUGACGUGCCACAACGGGGCAAAGAAGAUGCCACACAAGCAAACCAACUUGGACAAGUGGCACAAAGAUGGGAUGUGCCUGGAAGACUGAGGUGGCGUCUGAAGGGACAAACAUGUGAACACGUGAAGCACACGACUCUCGAUGUCCAGUUUACGGAAAAGGAAGCCCUCGUGGUGUGCGGUGUGUGUUGGCGGCUGCGGGACUGCUGGGCUACUCUGAGCCGGUGCGGACCUCGACCGCCGUGUCGUCGCCUCUCCUGGCUCUUUGGGUCGCGGUCGGCGCCGUGGUUUGGGUCUGUCCCGAGCUCGAGGCCGGUCAAGACGGGAAGACUUCUCUGGCAACCCGUUGGGGAGGCGGGGCACCUCACCACGGGCCUGAAGCUGCUCUACAAUUUCCGCCAUGGUGGAUCUCUUCUCUCUGUGGAAAUAAAGAAGCAAAUUUGAUAAUCACCCUGAAGUUCAUCUUUAGAGCUGAGGAUGAAAAAUAUUCCGAUAUGAGUCUUUCUGCUUGUUUUUUCCUGCACUGUCACUGUCACAUAUGCAACACAAGAUAAACCACACGACCUGAAGACACCUCGGUACACACAAAGUCUCACCCUC